rnacentral:rRNA from 1 species
CCUACGGGAGGCAGCAGUAGGGAAUAUUGCUCAAUGGGGGAAACCCUGAAGCAGCAACGCCGCGUGGAGGAUGAAGGUUUUCGGAUUGUAAACUCCUUUUGUUAGAGAAGAUAAUGACGGUAUCUAACGAAUAAGCACCGGCUAACUCCGUGCCAGCAGCCGCGGUAAUACGGAGGGUGCAAGCGUUACUCGGAAUCACUGGGCGUAAAGGGCGCGUAGGCGGGAUAGCAAGUCAGAUGUGAAAUGCUAUGGCUUAACCAUAGAACUGCAUUUGGAACUGUUAUUCUAGAGUAUGGGAGAGGUAGGGGGAAUUCUUGGUGUAGGGGUAAAAUCCGUAGAGAUCAAGAGGAAUACUCAUUGCGAAGGCGACCUGCUAGAACAUAACUGACGCUGAUGCGCGAAAGCGUGGGGAGCAAACAGGAUUAGAUACCCUUGUAGGUC